rnacentral:rRNA from 1 species
CACGUAGGGUGCGAGCGUUGUCCGGAAUUAUUGGGCGUAAAGAGCUCGUAGGCGGCUUGUCGCGUCGUCUGUGAAAUCCCGCGGCUCAACUGCGGGCUGGCAGUCGAUACGGGCAGGCUGGAGUUCGGUAGGGGAGACUGGAAUUCCUGGUGUAGCGGUGAAAUGCGCAGAUAUCAGGAGGAACACCGGUGGCGAAGGCGGGUCUCUGGGCCGAUACUGACGCUGAGGAGCGAAAGCGUGGGGAGCGAACAGG